AUUGAACGCUGGCGGCAGGCCUAACACAUGCAAGUCGAACGAGUGGCGGACGGGUGAGUACUGUCUGGGAAACUGCCCGAUGGCGGGGGAUAACUACUGGAAACGGUAGCUAAUACCGCAUACCAUCGGAUGUGCCCAGAUGGGAUUAGCUGGUGGGUGGGGUAACGGCUAACCUAGGCGACGAUCCCUAGCUGGUCUGAGAGGAUGACCAGCCACACUGGAACUGAGACACGGUCCAGACUCCUACGGGAGGCAGCAGUGGGGAAUAUUGGACAAUGGGCGCAAGUCUGAUGCAGCCAUGCCGCGUGUAUGAAGAAGGUCUUCGGGUUGUAAAGUACUUUCAGCGAGGAGGCGUUACUCGCAGAGGAAGCACCGGCUAACUCCGUGCCAGCAGCCGCGGUAAUAC
rnacentral:rRNA from 1 species